rnacentral:misc_RNA from 1 species
AAGAGGGAGUAGAAUGGAAGCAAAAUUUUCUAAUGUGGUUUAUCAUUACUUUAUCCGGGUAGUGAGGUAUUUUUAUUUUGGAAAGGUUUUUGGUCAGCUUGAUCUGUAUUGAACAUCAUUUGGUUAUUGAAUUUACUGGGUUGGGGCGAGAGAUUUAUAGGAACAGCUAUCUCUUGUGAUGAAAAAGUAUUGUGGUAAUUGUCUUGCUGCUUCUCUCUCCCUCUCUCUCCUCUGCUGUUUAUGUAUGAUCAUGAUUUUAUGCUAGCAAGUGAAAUGGCCAUGUGUAGGUAUGGAUGGCUGUUAGCUGAACAAAUUGAAGACUUCAUUUAUGUUGUUGAAUUUGGG